AAGUGUAGACGACUACUUGUACUUGAAAUUCCAUUCCUUUAUCCGGUGGGAGGGUUUAGAGCCAGUUAAGCCAAUAGCAUAUCUAGCAAAAGCUUCAGUAACACUAGCUACAUCAGUAGAUCAUUGAUUAGCAUACCUCCUCUGAAUAGUCUACGUGGACCCUAGUUUAUAUUACUAUUAAUUCGAAUUAAUCCAGUAAUGCAUACAGCCUUGACUCUCUUAAAGAGCAGGAGGUUUAGCGUCAACUCAUUCAAUGAAUGUUCUUUCAUUCACCACACGGAUGUAACACUAGCUAUAUCAGUAGAUCAUUGAUUAGCAUACCUCCUCUGAAUAGUCUACGUGGACCCUACUUUAUAUUACUAUUAAUUCGAAUAAAUCCAGUAAUGCAUACAGCCUUGACUCUCUUAAAGAGCAGGAGGUUUAGCGUCAACUCAUUCAAUGAAUGUUCUUU
rnacentral:lncRNA from 1 species